GAGGGACGACCUGUAUCAGUCAGGAGUUUGCACAGGUGCUGCAUGGCUGUCGUCAGCUCGUGCCGUGAGGUGUUAGGUUAAGUCCUGCAACGAGCGCAACCCUCGUCGCUAGUUGUUUUCUCUUAGCGAUACUGCCCGUAUAACGUGGAGGAAGGUGGGGAUGACGUCAAGUCAGCAUGGCCCUUACAUCCUGGGCUACACGACACGCUACAAUGGGUGAUACAACAGGUUGCGAUAGAGUAAUCUGGAGCCAAUCCCUAAAAUCAUCCUCAGUACGGAUUGCAGGCUGCAACUGCCUGCAUGAAGUUGGAGUUGCUAGUAAACGCAGGUCAGCACACUGCGUUGAAUACGUUCUCGGGCCUU
rnacentral:rRNA from 1 species